rnacentral:rRNA from 1 species
AACGAACGCUGGUGGUAUGCUUAAUACAUGCAAGUCGAACGGGCAUAGCAAUAUGUCAGUGGCAAACGGGUGAGGAAUAUAUAGGAACCUCCCUAGCAGUAAGGAAUAACUUUGGGAAACCAAAGCUAAUGCCAUAUAUUACCCCUUAAGAAAUUAAGGGGGAAAGAUUUAUCGCUGUUAGAUGGGCCUGUAUCAGAUUAGCUAGUUGGUAGGGUAAUGGCCUACCAAGGCAAUGAUCUGUAGCUGGUCUGAGAGGAUGAUCAGCCACACUGGAACUGAGACACGGUCCAGACUCCUACGGGAGGCAGCAGUAGGGAAUAUUGGACAAUGGGCGCAAGCCUGAUCCAGCAAUACCACGUGAGUGAUGAAGGUCUUCGGAUUGUAAGGCUCUUUUAGUAGGGAAGAUAAUGACGGUACCUACAGAAAAAGCACCGGCUAACUUCGUGCCAGCCGCCGCCGUAA